UGCUGUCGAAUCGUCCAGGUUUGCUUCCGACCUCUAUUUAUGGUGUUUUUUUGCAGUAUAAAUGAGAUGAAAUUGUUUGGAUUCGAUUGUGUCUUGCUUUGCCACUUGGUGGGAGGUUUCUCUAUCUAUUUUGUGGCUUUUAAGGAGAACCCAAGAUCAGUGUUUUGCUGCAAAAUGUUUUGAAAAAAGUAGCCUGUAGGGAGAUUAAUGAUUUCGUUUUGAGGAACCUAGAAAUCACGGGAAGACAAAGUCGAACAUCACCAAAUGCUCGAUAUGAUACAUCGGGGAAGCCUUUACUAUAUCCUCGUUGAUCUCGAACACCAACUUAUUCUCAUCCUUGAUACCUUUUUAUGAACGACUUACAACUAAA